rnacentral:rRNA from 1 species
UACGGAGGGGGCAAGCGUUGUUCGGAAUUACUGGGCGUAAAGGGCGCGCAGGCGGCUGCUCAAGUCAGGCGUGAAAGGCCUGGGCUCAACCCGGGAAUUGCGCUUGAGACUGGGCUGGCUUGAGUGCGGGAGAGGAUGGUGGAAUUCCCAGUGUAGAGGUGAAAUUCGUAGAUAUUGGGAAGAACACCGGUGGCGAAGGCGGCCAUCUGGACCGCAACUGACGCUGAGGCGCGAAAAGCGUGGGGGAGCAAACAGGG